rnacentral:rRNA from 1 species
UACGUAGGGGGCUAGCGUUGUCCGGAAUCAUUGGGCGUAAAGAGCGUGUAGGCGGCCCGGUAAGUCCGCUGUGAAAGUCGGGGGCUCAACCCUCGAAUGCCGGUGGAUACUGUCGGGCUAGAGUGCGGAAGAGGCGAGUGGAAUUCCUGGUGUAGCGGUGAAAGUGCGCAGAUAUCAGGAGGAACACCAAUUGCGAAGGCAGCUCGCUGGGACGU